rnacentral:rRNA from 1 species
UACGGAGGGUGCAAGCGUUAUCCGGAUUUACUGGGUUUAAAGGGUGCGUAGGUGGGUAGGUAAGUCAGUGGUGAAAUCUCCGGGCUUAACCCGGAAACUGCCAUUGAUACUAUUUAUCUUGAAUACUUUGGAGGUAAGCGGAAUAUGUCAUGUAGCGGUGAAAUGCUUAGAUAUGACAUAGAACACCAAUUGCGAAGGCAGCUUACCACACAGUGAUUGACACUGAGGCACGAAAGCGUGGGGAUCAAACAGG